GGGGGUGCUGGGGCUCGACAGGUAGGUGUAGGGAUCGAUUGCAGGUCGAGGUGUCAGUGUGCAAUCUCGUAAAACAACUGACAAAAUUAUAGUUGCCAAACCCAACUAUGCUGGCGCAAGCCAGUUCGCUUUCGCUGCUUAAUACCCAGUGAUGCGCAUCCGUCCGUCCUCAUCUCAGCGGGCCGGGGCGCGGGUGUCACUUAGCUGAGGGGCUGCGGUGCCGAUCGCUCACUACGCACCGCCUGAGAUCAGGGAGCAUGGCUUGAGAGAAUCCCGCCGAUGGGAGUCCCACAAGCGUCACCAAAUCAUCGGAUAAACCUGUAGCACAUCGGUUCAGGCGCAUAUUUGGACGGGGGGUUCAACUCCCCCCCAUCUCCACCC
rnacentral:tmRNA from 1 species